rnacentral:rRNA from 1 species
UACGGAGGGUGCAAACGUUGCUCGGAAUCAUUGGGCGUAAAGCGCACGUAGGCGGCUCGUUAAGUCGGUUGUGAAAGCCCUCGGCUCAACCGAGGAAGUGCAAUCGAAACUGGCGAGCUUGAAUAUGGAAGAGGGUCGCGGAAUUCCCGGUGUAGAGGUGAAAUUCGUAGAUAUCGGGGAGGAACACCAGUGGCGAAGGCGGCGACCUGGGCCAAUAUUGACGCUGAGGUGCGAAAGCGUGGGGAGCAAACAGG